GCGCGAACCAUGGUGUCCGGGGACAACGAGAGGCUGCUACCUGAGCCUGAGAGCUACGCCAAGUGUUUUUACGAUCUCUUCAAGAACAUCGCCGAGGCGCAGAGGAAUAAGGGAGAAUGGAGGAAGUGUAAAAAAAAUAAAACUCUUCGCAAACGAGAUAAGAAAAAGAUUGAUUUAAAUGGAGAAUUAAAUUAUAAUAAUCCACCAGAGAUAGAAACAUCUUGUAAUGCCUCAGCAUUUGCUGUGUUUGCUAGCGUGAGAAAUGCUAUUUUAGAAAAGCAUGCAAAAUUGUCAACUGAAAUUUAUAGAGCAUCCAAUUGUAGCUCUCCACCACCAGACCUUAGUGAUACUAUAGAUACAGAAAGCGAUGAUGAAGAUAGAAUAUCAACUAUACAAAAUUUACCAAAGAUUGUAGGUAUUGGUUUAAGAAGUGUUUUUACAUUAAUGCGAGAGAGUAGAACAAUCGAUCCAAUUUUAUGUACAAAAGCACUGUCGGCUUUAUUGGACGUUUUACAAGGGCAACUACCAGAAGGCCUCAAAUCUGAACCAGAUGAUGUCAUUGAUCCAUUAUUUGAUCUGUUACUGGAUCUUGCAACUUCUCAUGGUCCUGAAUCAGCCGCUGCCAAUGAUGGCAGUCACUUGACAGCUGUUGCUUGUGCUUGUUUAUUGAGUCUUGUAGUAGUCAGAGGAGAUACUGGACGGCUAUUGGCAGCAAUAGCGGCUCUGCUUAUGUCUCCUAGAGCGUUAGCAAUACAAAAUAUUCAGAUGCCAUGUGUGUUAACGUCUCUGCAGAGAAGUGUUCACGCUGUGUUGUUAGGCAAACUCAUGAGACCAGAUUGGAUUACAUAUGGCGUUCCCAAAUGUUCCAAGAUAUAUACCUCUAUGCUUAAGUUACCAAAUGAGAUGAACAAUAUGGUAUUGAAUGAACGUAGUUUUGUAAGCGAUGGAAAGUAUUUAUAUCUGCAUACAUCUCGUGGUUUACUAAAAAUUGGAAGUGGCCACAGUGGUACAAUAUGGGGACAUAUAUACAUACACAAAGCAGAUUUUUAUCCGACGGAAAUAGGGUGGCUCGGUUAUGCUAAUAAUUCAUUAUAUUUUAAAUGUGCACCUAGAAAACAGAGUGAAUUAUUAAUUAUUGAUGCAGAAACGCUUAUAGUAACAGGAAUUGCUGUGUUAGAAGGAAAAGAUUGGUCAUCCUCUGUCAUGUUCUCUGAUGGCGAAAAUUUAGGAAUGAUAACCGCUGGCAAAGAUGUAACUAAUGAAGGUUUCGUAGUACGUACGAUAAAUACACUGAGUAAUCCUGUGACAGUUGCCUCUGAACUACCAUUAAAAUUGGCAAGAAAAUGCGUAGAUAUAUUUGGUUAUGCAACAUUUGAUGAAGAACAAGCAAUACAUAUUUUAAAUCCGGGAUGCGACGAUGAAAUUGCAAUGGUUACAGCAGGAAAGGAAUUUGGCUUACUUAAAACAGUGUCUGGUAAAUUAUUAUAUAGUGGGAAAGGAACUUGCUUAGGCAUGAAGAGCAAUACCAGGCCUAAUAGAUGGUUAGAACUUACUUAUGGUAAAGGUCCAAGGAUUACACAUUUUGCAGCAGGUCAUGAUGGUCAACAUGUCGUUAUGGUAAUGGAAGAUGGUUCUGUACUAUUUGCUGGCACAGCUAGACGUGGGGAAGAUGGAGAUAGUAAUAAAGCUCGUAGGCAACCAAAACCAGUAAAACCAAAGAAAAUGGCAAAAGUGGAAGGUCAAUUUAUUGUGGAUGUUGCUUGUAAUAAUGGAUCUACUGCUUUAGUUACGAAAGAUGGUUCUCUAUUAAUGUUUGGUAAAGAUACGCUACAUAGUGAUCCUGUGACAGGGUUAGUUACCGAUUUAAGGGACGUAUGUAUAAUUCGCGUAUCGUUAGGAAAGGCUCAUGCCGCCGCGUUGACUAAUAAAGGACAUCUAUAUACAUUCGGUAUAAAUAAUAAGGGACAGUGUGGUCGUGAUUCUACAACAGUGCAUACCGUGAAUAAAGAAAUGUCAGUAGUUGCAAUGGAAAUGGGUACAGGGGAAGAUGAAUUGAUAAUAGCUGAAGAGGAGAAUGUAGAUCCUGCGGAAGAUUGGGAAGAAACGAGAGGGAUGUGUCCUCCAGGGCAACAUCAAUGGAGGCAUCGCGUUUGUAUGGUUUGCACGAUAUGCAGAGAAUGUACCGGAUAUAGCAUAUCAUGCCUGAGUAGUAUACGUCCCGAUCGGAAUCCUGGUCAAGAAUGUGGAUGUGGCGAAGGAGACAGUGGAUGUGCGGAAUGUGGAUGCUGUCGUACAUGUGCAAGAAAGAGUUGCAGCAACGGCAUAUCAGGUUCCAACUUUCGAGAAUAUCUGCAGAGACGAUUGGGUGAGAUAAAGCAACGGCAAAGAAGCAAAGCAGGACCGAGUGCUGUUAAGUAUGGAGUAAAAAUUAAGAGCAUGAAUAAUCAGCGUGCAGCUGGUCCUAGUAUCGUGCAAAAGGGAUUUCCGGAAAAAGUGGCAUUGGGAUUAGGAGUUAAUCUCACAGUAGAGGAAGGUGUCGGUGGUAGCGAUGUAGAGCGAGGGGAUGCGGCAAGAAUUGCCAGUAUAUCACCAGCCAGAGUUCCUAUUCCUAGCGACAGUCCUGUGAUCCAAGUGUCCUGUGGUUUGCAUCAUACGGUAUUACUUUUGCAAAAUGGAGAAGUGUAUACAUUCGGUAGUAACAUAUAUGGUCAAUUAGGUGUUGGAGAUUUAGUAGCACACGCAGGACCGAUUCAAGUUAAAUUGCCAACUAUUGCUACUCAAGUCGCUGCUGGUAGUAAUCAUACUGUUAUACUCACAUCAAAGGGCGAAGUUUACACAUUUGGUGCAUACCAAAAGGGACAACUCGGUAUGAAUUGGUGGAACGGUCAGAAUGAAUCUACAAACACUACUCAAGUGAAUCGUCGUACUGAUCGUUCUCAACCAUGGCACAGCUUUCCAAAUGUAGUACCAAAUAUUGGUCCUCGGUGGGGUAGACGAGCAACGUGGAUUGGUGCCGCUGGAGAUCAAACCUAUGUUAAAAUAGACGAAAUAAAUUCAAUUAGUUUGACAAGAAGCACUGUUAUGGCGAAUAAAAAUUGUAUUAUCUUGAUACCCCAUCAGAAUGAGCACGCAAAUUCUUUCAAGAGUCUCGUGAUAAGCAAACGCGACGGAACGUGUAAUAGUUACAGCGGUGUGGAUCAAGUUGAUUUCAGUAAUUGCGCAGCAUGUUUGGAUCCUUUGUACAAUGUUAUUUGGACUUUCAAUUCAGCGAAUAAUGAAAUAAGCUUGUACAACAUAAUAUCAACCGAAGCUAGAGCUAUACCUGGUUUGGAAGCUUCUAUACUCAAUCCAGGUUUAGCGCUUCCGGUUGUUUCAUCUUGUUUUCUAACGCGUUCUCAAGCCGCGAUGCAUUUAUUAGCUUGCUUGGAUACAUUAACGCAAGCUCAAGAUGAAAACUUAUUGAUAAUUGAAGAAAGUGAAUGUAAUCAAUCGAUGCAUAGCAAAGUUUAUAGUCGUGAAGAUUAUGCUACUGUUAGCAGAUUUGAAAGUCAUGGAGGAGGAUGGGGUUAUUCAGCUCAUUCGAUCGAAGCAAUUAGAUUUAUGCCUGACACGGACAUUAUAUUGGGAGGCUAUGGUUUGUUUGGUGGUCGAGGUGAAUAUACUGCGAAGAUUAAACUAUUUGAUGUCGGGAUUGAUGGCGGAGACCAAGAGAACGAUGGCGAACUUCUCGCAGAGACAGAAGAGAUUCCGUACGAAUGUGGUCCACGACAGAAAUAUUCGAUAUUAUUUGACGAACCUAUAUCAUUGCAAGCAAACAGAUGGUACGUGGCAUGGGCUAAAGUCGGUGGACCUUCCAGCGAUUGCGGUUCUGGCGGACAAGGAAUGGUCACAGCAGAAGAUCAAGUCAUGUUUUAUUUUAAGUCUUCUAAAAGAUCUAACAAUGGCACUGAUGUUAACGCCGGACAAAUUCCACAAUUAUUAUAUCGUAUUGUCACACCUGAAAAUCAGACACCAAAUAGGCAGAGAGACCAAAUUGAACCUGUCUAUGUUCUGAAGAGAGAAUUCAGUAGGACUGUCACGAAGGAAUGCUUUCAGUCCUUGAUAUCUCUCCUCCAAUGGAGUUGGAACACAUUGAAAGCAACACUGGCCGAUAUGGCCGUUCAUAUCGCAUCGUCGACUCACGCGAUGCUCGAAAUGGAACGAUUGGUGUACAUAAGCAAAGCCAGUUUAAGACUGCUUAGAACAUACACCAAUGAAAUCUAUCCUAAUUAUGUCAUUAAGAAGACUCCUCCUGAAUCGGUGCGUUUGGCGGAAUGUAUAGGUGAAGUGCGAGCAUUAUUGCGUCAAAUUUUAUCUGAUUCUUUACCGAUUACUCUGAAAAGUAAAGGAAAGACACGAUCUAACAAAAGUUCUAGUAAUACUUUGGGGAAUAAAAUGACAAAUAGCAUAUUAGACGAAUGUCACAAAACGUUUGUAGCUUGUUAUCAUGCAUUUUAUCCUACCGCAUAUCUUAAAUGGACUUCCUUAUGUGAGUUGUUAUCGGAUAUCGAUAAAGAACAAGGUACGACCUCAAAAGAUCGUCUUCUUUCGUCUGUACUGGCUUCUUUAUGCAAUUCGGCGAUACGACUUAGAUGUACGUUUCCAAUCUUAAGCAACAUCAUGGACAAUAGUGACAGCAUAAAACGGCAGCUUAGCCCAUCUGACAAUGCAGGUUUACUUAUGAUGAAUUCAACAGAAAGUCAUCAGUAUCCGAUUUUAGUUGAGCAAAUCAGUUACAAAUCUCAAGUGGAAAGCUCUGGCAAGGAGAUUUUGAAUUGGUCGUUCCGUGAAGUACUCGAUAGAUUACUGGAUCUGAUAUUAAUACCAGUCAAAAGAAGUCUUUGUAGAGAAAAGACUCAGUCUCUGCCAGAAUUGGUUCUUCAUUGCUGUUAUUUAUUAGCGCGAGUUAUCGCCGAAUUGGCGGCACAAUCGAGUGGAAAUGAAGACGAAUUGCAAGCAGCUUGCGGUAGACUCAUGUAUACAACACCUUCAAGAUUUACGAGAACAAAUCAGUCAAGAUCAUGGAAUACGGGUAAUGGUUCCCCAGAUGCUAUUUGCUUUUCCGUCGAUAGGCCAGGCAUUCUUAUAGCCGGUGUUGGUAUCUAUGGAGGUGCGGGAGUAUAUGAUUAUGAAUUGGAAUUGUUAGAUGAUCAAAAUAACACUGGUAACGAUCCAUCACAUACUCAGCGUUGGAGUAGUUUAGAUUUUACAAGAGGAUCUUUCGGACCAGAUGACUGCAUUAAUGAUACAGUAGAAUUGAAAUUUGACAAACCAGUACUCAUAAAAGAGAACAUUAAGUAUGCUAUUAGAUUACGAAAUCGCUGAGGACGAACUAGUAAUGGUGACGGUGGCCUAAGCAUUGUCAAAGGAGCCGAUGGCACAACGUUUACUUUUACUGCUUGUUCUCUAAGUUUUAAUGGUACAACACAAACUAGAGGUCAAAUACCACAUAUUUUAUACUAUUCAAAUCCGCAAGAUACCGAUGGGCAACACACGAAUAAAGCUAUGGCUGAAGUGCAAGCGAGAAAAUGUACUCUUGCUAUGACCGCAACGAUCAUUCAACGAUCGAAUGAAA